GAUGAACGCUAGCGACAGGCUUAACACAUGCAAGUCGAGGGGCAGCACAGGUAGCAAUACCGGGUGGCGACCGGCGCACGGGUGAGUAACGCGUAUGCAACUUACCUAUCAGAGGGGGAUAACCCGGCGAAAGUCGGACUAAUACCGCAUGAAGCAGGGGUCCCGCAUGGGGAUAUUUGCUAAAGAUUCAUCGCUGAUAGAUAGGCAUGCGUUCCAUUAGGCAGUUGGCGGGGUAACGGCCCACCAAACCGACGAUGGAUAGGGGUUCUGAGAGGAAGGUCCCCCACAUUGGUACUGAGACACGGACCAAACUCCUACGGGAGGCAGCAGUGAGGAAUAUUGGUCAAUGGCCGAGAGGCUGAACCAGCCAAGUCGCGUGAGGGAUGAAGGUUCUAUGGAUCGUAAACCUCUUUUAUAGGGGAAUAAAGUGCGGGACGUGUCCCGUUUUGUAUGUACCUUAUGAAUAAGGAUCGGCUAACUCCGU
rnacentral:rRNA from 1 species